UACGGGGGGAGCAAGCGUUGUUCGGAUUUACUGGGCGUAAAGGGCGCGUAGGCGGUCAGCACAAGUCAGUUGUGAAAUCUCCGGGCUUAACUCGGAAAGGUCAACUGAUACUGUGCGACUAGAGUGCAGAAGGGGCAACUGGAAUUCUCGGUGUAGCGGUGAAAUGCGUAGAUAUCGAGAGGAACACCUGCGGCGAAGGCGGGUUGCUGGGCUGACACUGACGCUGAUGCGGCGA
rnacentral:rRNA from 1 species